rnacentral:rRNA from 1 species
UGGGGAAUCUUCCGCAAUGGACGAAAGUCUGACGGAGCAACGCCGCGUGAGUGAAGAAGGUUUUCGGAUCGUAAAACUCUGUCUUUUGGGGCGAACGUGAGUAUGGUGAACAAUCAUAGUCAGUGACGGUACCAAAGGAGGAAGCCACGGCUAACUACGUGCCAGCAGCCGCGGUAAUACGUAGGUGGCAAGCGUUGUCCGGAAUUAUUGGGCGUAAAGAGCGCGUAGGCGGGAUAGUCAGUCUGUUGUAAAAGUGCGGGGCUCAACCCCGUGAUGGCAAUGGAAACAGCUAUUCUUGAGUGCAGGAGAGGAAAGUGGAAUUCCCAGUGUAGCGGUGAAAUGCGUAGAUAUUGGGAGGAACACCAGUGGCGAAGGCGACUUUCUGGACUGUGUCUGACGCUGAGGCGCGAAAGCCAGGGGAGCGAACGGGAUUAGAUACCCCGGUAGUCCUGGCCGUAAACGAUGGGUACUAGGUGUGGGGGGUAUCGACCCCUUCCGUGCCGGAGUUAACGCAAUAAGUACCCCGCCUGGGGAGUACGGUCGCAAGACUGAAACUCAAAGGAAUUGACGGGGUCAUAGCUGUUUCCUG